rnacentral:rRNA from 1 species
AGGUCGUUCCGCGAAGGUGCUGCUCCAUUCCAAGUCCAGCAAUGAGUACGGUAAUGCUGACAUGGCCCAAAGAGGGUGAAAGGCCCGUUGGGGUGGAGGUGCAGAAAUGUCAGUGCCUUCCUGGGUAGACCUUGGAGUCGGGUUGUUUGUGAAUGCAGCCCAAAGUGGGUGGUAAACUCCAUCCAAGGCUAAAUACUAACACGAGUCCGAUAGCGAACAAGUACCGUGAGGGAAAGUUGAAAAGUACUUUGAAGAGAGAGUAAACAGUGCGUGAAACCGCUCAGAGGUAAACAGGUGGAGUUGAACUGUGAGCUCUGUGGAUUUAGCUGGUGAGCGUGGUUUGAACUUGGUCAAAUUGGUUGAUGCUCGGGGUCUGCUUAGCCGCAGGUUUCCACCUUUUGGUGGGGACGCGCGAGGCACUUAUCAAGUGUUGCGCGCCUCGGGUUAUUCGGGCCGGCUUGCCAGUGCACUUUCACAGAGUGGUCACCACGACCGGCAUUGCUGUCUGACUGUUGCGGUUAAACCGGUCUUGCAUUGUCCUCGUGGCUUUGCUUGGUCGGGAUGGCAGGUAGCCCGUUGGCCGGCUUGUAUUUUGCUACAGGCGUAUGGUCCUCGGGUGUAAUCAGCUGACCGUAUCAGUUCUGUGCAGUAUGUCGGAGACGGCGGCUUGUGGUGUGUGCGUGCGUUCCAGUCAGCUGGCGUGUCCGGGUUUGGUUGUUAUGUUGCCUGUGUUUGCAGGCCUGAUAAUGGCUCGGAUUCGUUCGGUUGGCGGUUGCGUGCGUGUCAC